UACGUAGGGUCCGAGCGUUGUCCGGAGUUACUGGGCGUAAAGCGCGCGCAGGCGGCGGUGUUGGCCCGGCGUGAAAGCCCCCGGCUCAACCGGGGAGAGUCGUCGGGGACCGCACCGCUUGAGGGCGGUAGGGGCUGGUGGAAUGCCUGGUGUAGUGGUGAAAUGCGUAGAGAUCAGGCAGAACACCUGGGGCGAAGGCGGCCAGCUGGGCCGUCCCCUGACGCUGGAGGCGCGAAGGCGUGGGGAGCGAACGGG
rnacentral:rRNA from 1 species